GGUUUCCUCAACUUGAGACUCUUAUUCUUGUAGUUUUAAAGGAACUAGAAGAAUGGGAAAUAGAAGAAGGUGCAAUGCCAUGUCUCAAGACUUUAAGAUUGGCUGCACCAAGACUGAAGAUGAUUCCAGAAGGAUUGAAAUCAGUCACCACCAUUCAAGAAUUGACUAUUGAUGGGCUGACAAAACUUGUGGAGAGGGUUAAAGUCAUAGACGGAGUAGAAGGAGAGGAUUUUGAAAAAGUGCGCCACAUACCAUCCAUCUUAUUCAACUAAUGGCGAAGCUGAAAAAACAUUUAUCACAAAGGUAUCCGUUUCUUAUUUUUUUUGUUAGGAUAACAUAUGCCGUUAUAGCCUAUAGUCCCUUUCUUAACAAAUAAUCAUAUUUUCUUUUAAAAUAUAUUAUUGUGUGUACUAAAUAAUCUCUAAAUUUCUUCUUCAUCCAUUUUUUUUUAUUGAUCCUUAUUAUAAAAAUAAAUGAUUUGGGCUCUACUAAAAAAAAUAAAAAUGAACUCUUUCAUUAUUUUUUUGAGAAAACUCUGUUUUAUUUUAAUUAUUGUUAACCUUUCUUUUAUUUUUCAAGUGUAUAUAUAUACACACACUCAGUUUAUUGAUCUUUCAUUUCAAUGACUAGUUUUGAUGAGGUAUCUCAAAAUAAAAUUAUGUCAAGUGCAUAAGUUGGAGAGGACUGAAUAAUGCAUAUAAUUUCACCAAACAAAAUGAUUCUAAACUAGUUACCCAUUUACGCAGGCAUUUUGUAAGAGCAAUGAAUUGAUGGCAAACUCAGAAUUGCAGUCUGCGGACUGUAGCAGGCUUGGACAUGAACAUCCAUAACAGCAUUCCAUUUGGAUGUGAUUAGUUGUUUUCCUGUGUUGUUUUUGUGUGUUUAUUUUUUUUUUGAAUAACAAAUUUCAGUGUGAAAACCUUCAAACUUUAUUUCUUAUUUGCCAUAAUUGUAUUGUCAUUUUUAAUGUUUAUUUUACUUCUUAUUUCUUCCCAUAAAUAACAAAAUGAUGUAUUGCAAAUGCUUGACGAUAUUCAGUGUACCAUGUAAAAUACUGGAUUCACAAUGGAACAAUGGGUUUCUUGGUUUCCCAUCUCAUGAUUCUCAUGCUUGGUGAAUGGGAGGCUAGUAACAGGGAUGCAAUAAAGUUCACACUUCAGCAACUGUUCCCUUUUCAUGAUUUUGAUGUAUCCUUCCGCUUGGAUUUUCCAUUUUAAAAAAAUCUAAUAGAGAAGCUACUGCAAAAUUAAAAACUAU
rnacentral:misc_RNA from 1 species